rnacentral:rRNA from 1 species
GUACUGUGCAAACGUUGUUCGGAAUCACUGGGCUUAAAGGGUACGUAGGCGGCCAGUUAAGUAGGGUGUGAAAUCCCCCGGCUCAACCGGGGAACUGCGCUCUAAACUGACUGGCUUGAGUGAGAUAGGGGUGUGCGGAACUUCCAGUGGAGCGGUGAAAUGUGUUGAUAUUGGAAGGAACGCCGUUAGCGAAAGCGGCACACUGGGUCUCAACUGACGCUGAGGUACGAAAGCCAGGGUAGCGAACGGGAUUAGAUACCCCGGUAGUCCUGGCUGUAAACGUUGAGCACUAGUCGGGAGGGGUUUCGGCCCUUCCGGACGCAGCGAAAGCACUAAGUGCUCCGCCUGGGGAGUAUGGUCGCAAAGGCUG